GACGAACGCUGGCGGCGUGCUUAACACAUGCAAGUCGAACGGAAAGGCCCUGCUUUUGUGGGGUGCUCGAGUGGCGAACGGGUGAGUAACACGUGAGUAACCUGCCCUUGACUUUGGGAUAACUUCAGGAAACUGGGGCUAAUACCGGAUAGGAGCUCCUGCUGCAUGGUGGGGGUUGGAAAGUUUCGGCGGUUGGGGAUGGACUCGCGGCUUAUCAGCUUGUUGGUGGGGUAGUGGCUUACCAAGGCUUUGACGGGUAGCCGGCCUGAGAGGGUGACCGGCCACAUUGGGACUGAGAUACGGCCCAGACUCCUACGGGAGGCAGCAGUGGGGAAUAUUGCACAAUGGGCGGAAGCCUGAUGCAGCAACGCCGCGUGCGGGAUGACGGCCUUCGGGUUGUAAACCGCUUUCGCCUGUGACGAAGCGUGAGUGACGGUAAUGGGUAAAGAAGCACCGGCUAACUACGUGCCAGCAGCCGCGGUGAUACGUAGGGUGCGAGCGUUGUCCGGAUUUAUUGGGCGUAAAGGGCUCGUAGGUGGUUGAUCGCGUCGGAAGUGUAAUCUUGGGGCUUAACCCUGAGCGUGCUUUCGAUACGGGUUGACUUGAGGAAGGUAGGGGAGAAUGGAAUUCCUGGUGGAGCGGUGGAAUGCGCAGAUAUCAGGAGGAACACCAGUGGCGAAGGCGGUUCUCUGGGCCUUUCCUGACGCUGAGGAGCGAAAGCGUGGGGAGCGAACAGGCUUAGAUACCCUGGUAGUCCACGCUGUAAACGGUGGGUACUAGGUGUGGGGUCCAUUCCACGGGUUCCGUGCCGUAGCUAACGCUUUAAGUACCCCGCCUGGGGAGUACGGCCGCAAGGCUAAAACUCAAAGGAAUUGACGGGGCCCCGCACAAGCGGCGGAGCAUGCGGAUUAAUUCGAUGCAACGCGUAGAACCUUACCUGGGUUUGACAUGGAUCGGGAGUGCUCAGAGAUGGGUGUGCCUCUUUUGGGGUCGGUUCACAGGUGGUGCAUGGCUGUCGUCAGCUCGUGUCGUGAGAUGUUGGGUUAAGUCCCGCAACGAGCGCAACCCUUGUUCACUGUUGCCAGCACGUUAUGGUGGGGACUCAGUGGAGACCGCCGGGGUCAACUCGGAGGAAGGUGGGGAUGACGGUCAAGUCAUCAUGCCCCUUAUGUCCAGGGCUUCACGCAUGCUACAAUGGCUGGUACAGAGAGUGGCGAGCCUGUGAGGGUGAGCGAAUCUCGGAAAGCCGGUCUCAGUUCGGAUUGGGGUCUGCAACUCGACCUCAUGAAGUCGGAGUCGCUAGUAAUCGCAGAUCAGCAACGCUGCGGUGAAUACGUUCCCGGGGCU
rnacentral:rRNA from 1 species